AGCAGUAGCCACGGUAACACCGAGGAUGCAAGCGUUAUCCGGAAUGACUGGGCGUAAAGCGUCUGUAGGUGGCUUUUCAAGUCCGCCGUCGAAUCCCAGGGCUCAACCCUGGACAGGCGGUGGAAACUACCAAGCUGGAGUACGGUAGGGGCAGAGGGAAUUUCCGGUGGAGCGGUGAAAUGCGUAGAUAUGCGGAGGAACACCGAUGGCGAAGGCAAUCCCCUGGGCCUGCACUGACGCUCAUGCACGAAAGUGUGGGGAGCAAACAGGAUUAGAUACCCGCGUAGUCCCUGUCUCUUAUAC
rnacentral:rRNA from 1 species